UACGAGUGCCUCAAGCGUUAUCCGGAAUCAUUGGGCGUAAAGGAUGUGUAGGUUGUCGCAUUAGUCUUCUGUUAAAUUUCCCGGCUUAACCGGGAACCUGCAGAAGAAACGGUGCGACUUGACGAUGCAAGGGGUCUACGGAACUCAUAGUGUAGCGGUGAAAUGCGUUGAUAUUAUGGGGAACACCAAAAGCGAAGGCAGUAGACUGGGGCACUCGUGACACUGAAACAUGAAAGCGUGGGAGCGAACGGG
rnacentral:rRNA from 1 species